CCUGCCCCUAGAUGCAUUGCAGGUGUGGCUGCUGUGUCACACGUGCAUGAGUAGGUGACAGAGAGGAGAAAGCUAUGACUAUAUUCUGUGUUAUGACCUAUGAACAUCUGAAUGAUUAGUAGGCUAACAUU
ensembl:snoRNA Gm24066 small nucleolar RNA SNORA17